GAUGAACGCUAGCUACAGGCUUAACACAUGCAAGUCGAGGGGAAACGGCAUUACGUGCUUGCACUUUUUGGACGUCGACCGGCGCACGGGUGAGUAACGCGUAUCCAACCUUCCCAUGACUAAGGGAUAACCUGCCGAAAGGCAGACUAAUACCUUAUGGUCUUCACUGACGGCAUCAGAUGUGAAGUAAAGAUUUAUCGGUUAUGGAUGGGGAUGCGUCUGAUUAGCUUGUUGGCGGGGUAACGGCCCACCAAGGCAACGAUCAGUAGGGGUUCUGAGAGGAAGGUCCCCCACAUUGGAACUGAGACACGGUCCAAACUCCUACGGGAGGCAGCAGUGAGGAAUAUUGGGCAAUGGGCGAGAGCCUGAACCAGCCAAGUAGCGUGCAGGAGGACGGCCCUAUGGGUUGUAAACUGCUUUUGUAUGGGGAUAAAGUCAAUCACGUGUGAUUGUUUGCAGGUACCAUACGAAUAAGGACCGGCUAAUUCCGUG
rnacentral:rRNA from 1 species